UUUUCACUAAUAUCUAACUUACAACUCUGCUUAUUUUUUCAGACAUGGAGAUGACUUGAUUGUGACACCAUUUGCUCAGGUGCUGGCCAGCCUGCGUACUGUACGGAAUAACUUUGCUGCAUUAACCAAUUUACAAGAUCGGGCCCCCAGCAAACGGUCACCAAUGUGUAACCAACCAUCUAUUAACAAAGCAACUAUAACAGGUAGUUAUAUCUCUAUGGCUUGAUGGCAGAGUGAAAGGAUUUGCUUUCCCUCUUAGUGAAAGAAAACAGGAAGUUACUACACAAACAAUUUAUCAUUUAAACCAAAAAUUUAUUCUUUAUAGAAUUUUUUAAUGCAUUUUUUGUUUGUUUGCAGACAGAUCUUGGCUUGAUUUUUGCUGAUCCUCUGCUUGCCUUUUUAAUUGUAUGAUAAUAGGGUUUUAGAUCAAGGAAGAACAAACACCUGAGCUUUCUUCGGGAGAACUGGCUUUGUCAUGUUCAGUGUUUCCUCUGGAACGUGGUAACAUCAUUAGGUUUUUCAUCUAUCCUUACCCAAUAUCCACAUAUUCCUCUAAAAUAUGCAGUCUUAUUAGUUCUAUAUUACUCUUUUCUCCAAUUCAUCAUGUAAUCUGAGGAUUUGUGCAGAGAGCUUACUAGGGAACAGAGGGUUAAAUCUUCAAAUCCACUCUAUACACAGAAAAUCAUCCCUGAUUAAUAGCAUUCUGCAAUCAUACUUAAAUUCAUAGUAAUUAAAUAAAUAGAGAGGGAGACAGAAAAAUAAAUAGAUCAUGAAGCCAUGAACUACUUUUCUUGCCUGUAGUGACUGCAAUCUUAGUCCUUUGUUAAUAUAUUACUUAAGAGAUCACGUUCGGUAUUAGUUUCAAAUUAAUAGCAAGGAGACAUCUCACUUACUGACAGGUGCUGCUGCAAUU